CAAAAUGUUAUGAGGGAGAAUGGUUUUUUACCAAAACAGUUUCAGAGAGCUGGUGGUCGCUGUGAACCAGUACUGUGGUAGAAUACAAAUCACUCCUGAGCAGUUACCUUGAAAGUAGCCCAAGGGUACUAGUAAGGGUAAACGGGACGUCCCGUUACAGACAAAGGGUUUGAUAGAACCUGACAGAGUGGUCUUUUUUUAUAGAGACAAUUAGGGUGGUAACGCGUGGAGAUAAUCCUCGUCCCUGCA
rnacentral:ncRNA from 1 species